UUUGAAUUAGCUGGUGUUAGCUGAAGGACGCUAGAUAUUUUGUUGAAUGGUCCAACUUGUAAAGGUGACAUUUUGUUCUGCAACUGGACCGUUUCCCCCAAAUUCCACCGGACACGACCGCGACGCCUCUCAGAAGCGCCUCUCCACUUCGACAGCAGCAUGGCUAAAACACUCUGGAUGGCGUUGUUGGUCCGUCCACCAUUUUGGUCCAGGCUAAAAUAUCCUGCUGCCCAGAGGAUGACGCCUGCUGACCAGAGGUUGGAUCGGAUCACUGUUUUCUAAGACACAAGUAAGUCUCAACUCUCAAAUCAAUACAGGCAAGUUGCAAGUCAAUUCCUAAACAAGUCACAAUGUGCUCUUCAUCCUGCAGUUUGAUUGAAGGCUGUUGGAUUGGUAAAGUGGAUCUGAGGAAUUAAGUGUCGAUGUCCUAACUUGUUUUAGGAAAUGAAGGGAAAUCAACAAAACUGUGGCACUAUUUUUAAAUAAUCUUUGUAUUUGUGAAUAUAUCAACUAUUUUCAAAUCAAAGGCUCAAUGAGGUCACAGUUCACUGGUGUUAAAAUCUAAGUUGAGUUGCAAGUCUUUUACUGUCAAGUCGAGUCCAAACUAAUCAAAUUUGUGACUCGAGUCUGACGUAAAUCCAAGUCAUGUGAUUUGAGUCCACACCUCUGCUCCUUAGUGAGUUUGGAAGUCAGCUUAUUUUUCCUCCCGCCACCAUGAAGUUGAUCAUUUUGUUCUUUAUUGAAUUGUUUCAACAAUUACCAUUUAGUACAGACAUUUAUCAUGCCCAAAAGAUGAAGCCUACUGACUUGUGAUUAUCCAUGACAUUUCCUUUAAUGUCACCAGCAGCUCAAAGUUUAUACACAUCCAGUUAGAUAUCUCAGCGUAAACUGGAUGGAUUGGCACACAGCUAUGUACAAAUAUUCAUGGUUCUUAUGUGUAUUCUGAUGAUGCUCUGACUUUUCCUAUUGUGCCACCAUGAGGUUGACAUUGAUGAUUGAUUCAAGACAUUCAUGUCACAGUGAACUAGAAUUACUUUGUUGAUCUCCUGACGUUUCUAAGCCUCAGCUC
rnacentral:lncRNA from 1 species